rnacentral:rRNA from 1 species
GGACUACAGGGGUUUCUAAUCCCGUUUGCUCCCCACGCUUUCGCGCAUCAGCGUCAGAACCGGUCCAGUGAGCCGCCUUCGCCACUGGUGUUCCUCCCAAUAUCUACGCAUUUCACCGCUACACUGGGAAUUCCACUCACCUCUCCCGGCCUCAAGCAAAGCAGUCUGGAAGGCAGUUCCCCGGUUAAGCCGGGGGAUUUCACCUUCCACUUGCCAAGCCGCCUACGCGCCCUUUACGCCCAAUAAUUCCGAAUAACGCUUGCCCCCUCUGUAUUACCGCGGCUGCUGGCAC